UACGUAGGGUGCAAGCGUUGUCCGGAAUUAUUGGGCGUAAAGAGCUCGUAGGCGGUCUGUCGCGUCUGGUGUGAAAACUCAGGGCUUAACCCUGAGCUUGCAUCGGGUACGGGCAGACUAGAGUGCGGUAGGGGAGACUGGAAUUCCUGGUGUAGCGGUGAAAUGCGCAGAUAUCAGGAGGAACACCCGUAGCGAAGGCGGCACUCUGGGCCGAUACUGACACUGAGGAGCGAAAGCGUGGGGAGCGAACAGG
rnacentral:rRNA from 1 species